AAAUGUGAUCACUGUAUGAAUAAAGCAAACUGUGGGAUCAAGGACGGCAGGUGUGAUGAAUCGGGAUGUGCCACGUCUGGAUAUCAACCUCCACUAUGUAAAGGUAAAACGUAUCUUAAGCUAACUUAAAAAACAUUUGGUUCCAUUGCCUAGUAAAAUGGUCAUUUCUAUAAUUUUACCUGCUCUUCCAUAAAAUGUUUUUGUGUUUUGAGCUGUUGCGAAAGAAUAUUUCUUGCUUAGACUGACAGACUUAUUUAGUAAUAAAUAAAGAAAUCAACGAUGAAUAAAUAUUGUUUGCGUUACUUAUCGUUUAGGAAAUCUAUGCAAGAACAAUGUAUAUGAUCUUGUUUUUUAGAAUAAUAGAUAAACAAUCGUGAAAAUGAUACGAUUUUUAUUCAUUAAUCUCUUCCCAUUACAUGAACACUACAUUGGAUCAAAAUACAGUUAUUUCAUGCUUAUGACCAUUCGGGUUCUCUCUUUUAUUUUCCCUUUCUCUUCUUCAUAACUUGUAUGAAAGAUAAAAAAUUGUUUGUUUUUUUUAAUUUAGCUUGUUUAAACGAUACAUAUGGAAAUGACUGCGAAUACACAUGCGGCCACUGUUACAACCAUGUCGUUUGUGACAGAAAUAACAACACGUGUUCAAAUGGGUGUGGACAGGAUUAUAGCGGAAGUGAUUGUAAACAGCAUCAAUUUGUCAGAAGUUAUUCCCAAGUCAAAGCUAGCUCAAUUGACGGAGCCCGAUGGACAUCGUACGCUGUUGACGGCAACUUUAAUCAGAGUAUAAGCCACUGCUUUCAUAGUGACGUGAACGAUACUAUAAAAGAUGCAUGGCUUCGAGUAGACCUAGGGAGAGUAUUUAGUGUCAGCUCAGUCAAACUCUGGUACAGGAGUGAUGGAGAAUGUAUGUAUGAUGAUAUUUUACACUCAACUAGUUCAUUUAAAAUUUGUUAGCAUGAAAUUUACCACAAUUUUCUUUUUAUAGUUGGAUCAUCUUGGAUCAAGAAAUCUCGGCUCCCAGGGUUUUCGAUCCGUGUGUCUAACGAUACCACUGUACCAACAUCACACUCUUCAUGUUACACAUCUCUACCAUCUGAAAACAUGUCGACUGUAAUAGAGAGAGACUGCGAGAAAACAGCCAAAUAUGUUUGGAUUUAUCAGGAUCAUAUCUCUCCAGGAGACGAAUGCCCAAUUUUAGAAAUCUGCGAAGUUCAAGUUUUUGGUACUUAACAUUUGGUACAUAUAAAUGAAGCUAUGAAAAGAACUUUUUUUUCUAAACGCAAAAAAUAGCGAUAGACUUCUGAAUAUUUUUAUUUAGCUAUUACCUUUAGUUGUAUUGUUUCGUGAAAAUAUUUUAUAUAUAUUAUACAAACGGUCUGUCUACAACAUGUAUUAUUUUGAAAUGCACGCUGACAUAAGAGCACAAAC
rnacentral:sRNA from 1 species